rnacentral:rRNA from 1 species
UACGUAGGGGGCAAGCGUUGUUCGGAAUGACUGGGCGUAAAGGGUGCGUAGGCGGUGUAGCAAGUUAGAAGUGAAAUACCUAGAGCUUAACUCAGGUGCUGCUUCUAAAACUGCUAUACUUGAGUGCAGUAGAGGGAAGUGGAAUUCCUAGUGUAGCGGUGGAAUGCGUAGAUAUUAGGAGGAACAUCAGUGGCGAAGGCGACUUUCUGGACUGUAACUGACGCUGAGGCACGAAAGUGUGGGGAGCAAACAGG